CCAGUUGCGUACCAGGUAAUGGCUGGGCGACUCUGGUGAGGACUAGCCCGGUUAACGGGAGGAAGGUGGGACGACGUCAAGUCAUCAUGGCCCUUACGCCUAGGGCUACACACGUACUACAAUGGCGCAUACAAAGGGCAGCGAUACCGCGAGGUGGAGCCAAUCCCAAAAAGUGCGUCCCAGUCCGGAUUGCAGUCUGCAACUCGACUGCAUGAAGUUGGAAUCGCUAGUAAUUCGAGAUCAGCAUGCUCGGGUGAAUGCGUUCCCGGGCCUU
rnacentral:rRNA from 1 species